GAGCGGUAACAGAGAGUAGCUUGCUACUUUGCUGACGAGCGGCGGACGGGUGAGUAAUGCUUGGGAACAUGCCUUGAGGUGGGGGACAACAGUUGGAAACGACUGCUAAUACCGCAUAAUGUCUACGGACCAAAGGGGGCUUCGGCUCUCGCCUUUAGAUUGGCCCAAGUGGGAUUAGCUAGUUGGUGAGGUAAUGGCUCACCAAGGCGACGAUCCCUAGCUGGUUUGAGAGGAUGAUCAGCCACACUGGGACUGAGACACGGCCCAGACUCCUACGGGAGGCAGCAGUGGGGAAUAUUGCACAAUGGGCGCAAGCCUGAUGCAGCCAUGCCGCGUGUGUGAAGAAGGCCUUCGGGUUGUAAAGCACUUUCAGUCAGGAGGAAAGGUUAGUAGUUAAUACCUGCUAGCUGUGACGUUACUGACAGAAGAAGCACCGGCUAACUCCGUGCCAGCAGCCGCGGUAAUACGGAGGGUGCGAGCGUUAAUCGGAAUUACUGGGCGUAAAGCGUACGCAGGCGGUUUGUUAAGCGAGAUGUGAAAGCCCCGGGCUCAACCUGGGAACUGCAUUUCGAACUGGCAAACUAGAGUGUGAUAGAGGGUGGUAGAAUUUCAGGUGUAGCGGUGAAAUGCGUAGAGAUCUGAAGGAAUACCGAUGGCGAAGGCAGCCACCUGGGUCAACACUGACGCUCAUGUACGAAAG
rnacentral:rRNA from 1 species